AUCAGUACGAGUCCCAGAGUGAACAUCAACUCUGAGAUGCAGGAACAUCCAUCCCAAAUAGGACGAAACGCGCGUCCUGGAU
rnacentral:hammerhead_ribozyme from 1 species